GCCGCCGCACGCCCAUUGUACUUCAUCAGGUGCUCUGGUGAUAAUGGUUCCAGGCGCUUGUUGGAGUACACUUACCGUGUCGGCGGU
rnacentral:pre_miRNA from 1 species